GUGAGUGGCUGUCGCCAGGGCUCAUGCUUCCACCGGCGCAUAUUACAGGUGAGGGGGUGGCCAGGCAGCCAGACGCCGUGGCCGAGGCCCCGUGGAGGCCCACCUGGGUCAGGGCGGGAACGCCGAGGGGUGCCCCGUGGGCUGCGCUCAGUCCCAACCCCGCCCCGGUCGCCCCAGUGGAAACCGAGUCUCCACCCCGGGCUGCCGGGCACACACCCCUUGCUCUCUGACAUCGUUGAGUCUCGGGCUGCAAAUUUCUGUGACAUGUAACCAGACGCUCCGAGCACAAGGCAGCCCCACGCAUGCUGCUGUGCGGAUUUCGUGUGUCGUGGGAGGAGCGUUCACAGGCCCCCACGCACGCGGCCUGUGUUCGAGUCACGGCCCCGCCGCUCGGGUGCACGUGGCCACCACCGAUCUCCCCAAGGCCCUUGACUCCCCACUUGCUCCCCCGUCAAGGGGAGGCCCCGCUCCACGUCGCGGGGGUCUAUGCGGGUUAAGGAAGGACCAUCCAAGAAGGGGUCCUGUCCCUGUUGUUCCCUAGUGGAAGGAAGAGAGGACACGCCAGCGGAGGGCCAGGAGAGGGCUGCUGGCUGCCUGGGGAAGGAGGCCCACCGUGGGCGCUUUGUUCCCGUGGGACCGGGGACGACUCAGGGCUUCGUCUCAAGAGGAUUCGGUCACACGGCGGAGCCUCCAGCUUGGAAGUACACGAUUUGUCUCCCCCUCCCUCUGCCAUCGCAGCCUUUCCUGCAACCCCGAGUAGGGCCUGACCCCCGGACAGCUGGUCAUCCCCGCCCCACCCGCCGCCACCCCGCGAUCAUCUCCACCGCGACAAGAAAGGAGAGACCCCCCUGGCUUUCCCCGCCACCCCGAAUCCCUCCAAACCGCCUUCACUGCCUUCCUCUCUGAAAGAAACCAGGGCUGCGCCCCCACGGCCUGGUCUGCUUCUCCUCGCGCGGAUCCCGCCGUGUUCGAGGCCGGCCGGCACGUGGCUCCUGCACACCGGCUAGGGAUGCGUUGUGAAGAAUCCCCCGGACACGGCAACUGGAUGAAAGACUCCAGUGUGAGACGUGGUGCAAUGAACGUCGAUGAAUGCUCAUUUCAGCUGCUGCUAACCCGGGUCCUUGCGUAGCCUCAGGAAGCCUGUCCACUCGAAGAACUCGGCCUGUGAACGUAGGCAGACGUAGGUAUGGACGUAGUACAGCAGAGCAGUGCGGGAGCGCGGGGAAGACGCCUCACAGUUUACAGCAGAGUCUCUGCAAAACGUACAUGUGACCCCAGAACUGAUGAUUUCUACCGACUUGGCUGGGGAAAUACCGAAUAGGGGAACCCGCUUCCCACACAACUGGUGGGAGCGUUCAGUUGUUGAACUUUUCUGUAGGGCAGUUGGGGUCCUAUCUCGUGUGUGCAUGGGGGUGGGGGGGAGGGUUAAAAUACGCGUAAGAACCUACUACGAAGCUAAAAUAAUGCAAAGCAGUUGGGGGACAGAGAGAGACAGAUUAGUGACAGAGAAUGUAAAGCCUGGGGCGGGCGGGCCCAAGAAUAGAGCAGAUCUGUGGUGCGGUGAAGGGAUUAGUGCAAACCCGCAGAAACAAUGGGGAAGGGGCGCGGGGCGGGGGGGGGCUCAGCAGUUCAGCGUCUGUCUUUGGCCCAGACCGUGACCCCGGGGUCUUGGGAUCGAGUCCCGCGUCAGGCUCCCUGCAGGGAGCCUGCUUCUCCCUCUGCCUGGGUCUCUGCCUCUCUCUGUGUCUCUCAUGAAUAAAUAAAUAAAAUCUUCGGAAAGAAAAAAAAGA
rnacentral:lncRNA from 12 species